GUCUACGGCCAUACCACCCUGAAGCUUCCCGAUCUCAUCUGAAACACGAAGCUAACCAGGGUCGAGCCUUGUUAGUACUUGGAUGGGAGACUGCCUGGGAAUACCGGGUGUUGUGGGCU
ensembl:rRNA 5S_rRNA 5S ribosomal RNA